rnacentral:rRNA from 1 species
UACGUAGGGGGGCUAGCGUUGUCCGGAAUCAUUGGGCGUAAAGCGCGUGUAGGCGGCCCGGUAAGUCCGCUGUGAAAGUCCAGGGCUCAACCCUGGGAUGCCGGUGGAUACUGUCGGGCUCGAGUCCGGAAGAGGCGAGUGGAAUUCCUGGUGUAGCGGUGAAAUGCGCAGAUAUCAGGAGGAACACCAAUGGCGAAGGCAGCUCGCUGGGACGUGACUGACGCUGAGACGCGAAAGCGUGGGGAGCAAACAGG